AUUUCUCUCCUGGGCUGAAUAGAGCUGUGCCUGCUGUACCUCCCUUCUGAGGAUACCUACCUGCCCCUCUCCGUGUGCUGACCCCUGGACUCCUGGGGGCAGAUACACGACUGUCUGCUGGAGCUGGCUCUUGGCCUGUCAGAAUUAACACUGAUGGGAAGGCUCCGGAGACUAAGGAGGCCUGAUGGACUGUAACGAUCCACAAAGCACUGGCAUUUUGAAGUGGGUGGUGGUAGAAAUCAGUACACUGAGAAGCAGGGUGGAGACUAAACCAGGAGAAAAGGUUUUCGAUGUUUCAAACUUCAGCCAGGCUUGGUAGUAUGUAUCUGGAAUCCCAGCACUGGGGAAACUAAAGAUUGAGAGUUCAAGGCCAGCCUGGUUUAUAGAGUGAAGACCUUCCUUGAAAACUGUCUUUCAAAUGUCCACUUAUGAUACAUCCCUGAUGCUUCACACUUUGUCCUGUCACCCCUCACCAACAGCUGCUGUGGACCUAGCACUUAACUCUGCCAUCCUCAGUUCCAAGUACUUUACAUACCUCAACACCAUGCCAUUUAAAGAUGAAUAACUGGCCCAGAGAGGUUAAGCGACCUGGUCCAGGUCACACAGGCAGUGAGUAGUCACUGGAAUUCGAGUCAAGCAUACUCGACUUAGCCCUUUCCCCAUGCUGCCCGGCUCCUGCCCCCAGAUUACAGAAAUAAACAUCAUGUACAUGGAGCUGCCGGAACUCAGGCACUGAAAGUGGGAUGGAAAACAGUUCAACUUUGGAAAGUUGAAGCAGCUUCUAAAAUAAACUAGCCCAGCAGUUCCACUCCACACAGAAGAUAUGUCUGCAGAAGUGUAGCCGAUAAUAGCCCCAAACUGGAAAUAGCUCAUUUUCCAGUGACAAUAAGGAAGUGAAUUGUUGAUGCUCCUAACCACGUGAGUCCAAAAAGUGCUGUGCUGCAUUAAAGAAGCCAGGCAUACAGGCCUUGAACUAUGUGAUUACGUCUUUAUAAAACUCUACGAAAAGCAUGGCAGAGAGCACAGGGCACUGGCUUCUAGAACCAUAGACGAAGGAGGUGACGAAGGUCUGCAGGGAUGUGAAAGUGUGAUGAUGGGUCCUGUCCCUUGAGUGUGGUGGUGGCUCAUGUUUGCUAUAAAUCAUUACAAUUUA